rnacentral:tRNA from 1 species
GCCGCAAUAGCACAAAAGGUAGUGCACCUGAUUUGUAAUCAGGGGGUUGGGGGUUCAAGUCCCUCUUGCGGCACCA